rnacentral:rRNA from 1 species
UACGUAGGGACCAAGCGUUGUCCGGAAUCAUUGGGCGUAAAGAGCGUGUAGGCGGCUUGUUAAGUCUUGCGUGAAAUCUCGGGGCUCAACCCCGAGCGGUCGUGAGAAACUGGCAGGCUAGAGUGCGGGAGAGGAGAGUGGAAUUCCUGGUGUAGCGGUGAAAUGCGUAGAUAUCAGGAGGAACACCGGUGGCGAAGGCGGGUCUCUGGGCAGUAACUGACGCUGAGGAGCGAAAGCGUGGGGAGCGAACAGG